rnacentral:lncRNA from 1 species
CAAUUUUAGAAGUUCUCGUUAUAUUAAUAAUAGGUUAUUGAGGAAAGAAACAACUAUGGAAGUAAAAGGUAAAUAGAACCAGACAUAGAAAAGCCGUUUCAAGCUAAGUUAUUCACAUCAUAGAACAACUAUCUCUUGUUAAAGCAUGGGAAUCGAUCACAAGAGGAUGAGAGUAAUCUAGGUAAUUUACAUUACUUAUAACAUCAUAAUAUGCUUAAAGAAUAUCCAAUUCAACUUGAUAAAUAAGUCGAUAUAACUAAUCAACAUCAACAAGUUAUUUCUUCAAUGAGGGAGAAAGUUCUUCUGAAGUCACAAUAACCACACAAUUCUUCAAUUGAAUUGAAGAAGUUGAAAACAAAGAUUCUUCCUGAAGCUGUGAAAUACGAAGAAAAAACAUAAGAUAAAUAAAAAAUUGAAGGAAAAAAAAGUAAAGAACAUGUUGCUAAAAAGUGUGCCAAGUACAAAGCUGAAAAUGCACAGAAUCACAAUCCACUUGAGUGAGACUUUGCCCCUAGACAUCGGCCCAAAUUAAUUUACGUAUUGUUUUAUUUAUUGAUGUCUUUUUAUUUUAUUGGGCUUGUCUAGUGGGUCUAGCCCAAGCCCGUGAAUAUUAGGUUUAUUUUGUUAUUUAUAUGUUGGUAACUGGAAUUGCAAGACAGUUUCGAUGAAUGAGUUAAAUUACG